UACGUAGGUGGCAAGCGUUGUCCGGAUUUAUUGGGUUUAAAGGGUGCGUAGGCGGCUUUGUAAGUCAGUGGUGAAAUAUGGCAGCUCAACUGUCAGGGUGCCAUUGAUACUGCGGAGCUUGAGUACAGAUGAGGUAGGCGGAGUUGACGGUGUAGCGGUGAAAUGCUUAGAUAUCGUCAAGAACACCGAUAGCGAAGGCAGCUUACUGGGCUGUAACUGACGCUGAGGCACGAAAGUGUGGGGAUCAAACAGG
rnacentral:rRNA from 1 species